CCUGCAGGGCCUGAGCCUUGCGCUGGGGAAGCCUUACAAUAGCCCCCCAGGAGGGCCCCGCAUCUGGCUUUCCAGAGACUGGCGUGUCUUCAUCCAAGUAUGGGGAGCAGUUGGCCAAAGCCCAGGUCUGAGCGCAGGGCAGUGUCACCCUGCUUGGAUGCACUUUCCUCCUUGAGACUGAGUAGGAUGGAAACUGAGGCUCCUCUGAGUGGAGGAUUGGAACUCAAGGCCGGGUUUGGAGGGGGUGUUUGCCCCCCCACCCUGCGGCCCGCCAGGCUGACGCUGGGAGAUUUCCGCUGAUCGGGGCGGAGUGAGGCCCGUGACUGUGACCCGGAGCUCAAGGGCUGAGGAGCGCGUUCUGUGGACGCCAGCGGAAGGCUGGAGGUCAGACUGGCAAAGUUCUCCUGCCUGGCCAGGGAAACUGAGGCCCAGAGAACUAAAAGGAACCGACUACAACAGUGAGAGAGUGAGCAGGGGAAGAGCAGAGAAAGAAGGAGACAC